rnacentral:rRNA from 1 species
GAUGAACGCUGGCGGCGUGCCUAAUACAUGCCAGUCGAGCGAACAGACGAGGAGCUUGCUCCUCUGACGUUAGCGGCGGACGGGUGAGUAACACGUGGAUAACCUACCUAUAAGACUGGGAUAACUUCGGGAAACCGGAGCUAAUACCGGAUAAUAUGUUGAACCGCAUGGUUCAAUAGUGAAAGACGGUUUUGCUGUCACUUAUAGAUGGAUCCGCGCCGCAUUAGCUAGUUGGUAAGGUAACGGCUUACCAAGGCAACGAUGCGUAGCCGACCUGAGAGGGUGAUCGGCCACACUGGAACUGAGACACGGUCCAGACUCCUACGGGAGGCAGCAGUAGGGAAUCUUCCGCAAUGGGCGAAAGCCUGACGGAGCAACGCCGCGUGAGUGAUGAAGGUCUUCGGAUCGCAAAACUCUGUUAUUAGGGAAGAACAAAUGUGUAAGUAACUAUGCACGUCUUGACGGUACCUAAUCAGAAAGCCACGGCUAACUACGUG